rnacentral:rRNA from 1 species
UACGUAGGGUGCAAGCGUUAAUCGGAAUUACUGGGCGUAAAGCGUGCGCAGGCGGUUUUGUAAGUCAGAUGUGAAAUCCCCGGGCUUAACCUGGGAACUGCAUUUGUGACUGCAUGGCUAGAGUUUGGCAGAGGGGGGUAGAAUUCCACGUGUAGCAGUGAAAUGCGUAGAUAUGUGGAGGAACACCGAUGGCGAAGGCAGCCCCCUGGGUCAAGACUGACGCUCAUGCACGAAAGCGUGGGGAGCAAACAGG